rnacentral:lncRNA from 1 species
CUGUUGGGUCUGAGGGGGUGGUGCCGUCGGAAAGGUCUUGCUUGGUCUCCUCUCUAGCGGGCGGAGAGUUCCAAUGGUCCAGAUUGCCUGGGCAUCCCUGACCCCUCCGGACCACUUCCCUAGAGGGCAUCCUGUGCCCGACUGCUGGGCUGGCAUUUGCAGAGUACAGAUCUAGGCUGUCUGGAUUAUACUACACAUGAAGAGCCUACUGUUUGCAAAAAUUGACUUUUCUUUCCCGCGGCCACGCUGCAAAGGAUGGAGCUCCAGCAGCGAAGCAGCAGUCACUGGUCUAGCUGAAGAGGAAGGAGCCAGGCUCCUGCUUCGUAACCGAGGCAUCUAGCAUCCAGCCAAAGAACUUUUUUGCCUCUGACUAAGGAGCCACUGGUUAUCGGAGCCGGCUCAAUUGAAUACCCAUUCGGAUGAAAGAGUGAAGUAUAAAAUAACAAGAUCUUCAAACACCAGCAUCACAUCCAGAGAGGCCAGAGGGUCCCAAGACAAAACAAGCCGGGGCCAAGACGCACUCAGAGCUCCUAUCUCACCCUCUUAGGGGUGUGCUCGGGGCACCAGAUGGGUUAUUAAAUGUUAUUCUCUUUCUCCCUUUUUGGUUAAGCAGAGGACUGCAGAGGAAAGCCUCUGAAUCAAAUGUUUGCUCCACACAGUUCAACUGAAAUGUAGGUUGUGAUGAGUGGACACGUGCUCCACAGCUAAGAGACCAACCGAGGGCAUCCUAUCCCACUCGUGGGUCUAAGGGGAGACUUACAGAAGGCAUACUUACUCUGAAGAUGGAAUGAUAGCUGAAGAGACAGAGUGAUGCCUAGGGCCUGUCAGACACCCAGUUUAGCCUAAUACAGAAAAGCACGGAGGUGAGAAACAACAGGGUGAAUCCAAGGAAAUUCAACAGGAGCAUGUGAGAGGCAGGAGCCAGGGAGAGUUAGACAUGGCCCGAAACAAGUUCUCCCCUCCACCCUGAGGAAUUCUGGUGCUUCAGCACUGGCUCCUGAAGAAUUGGGGAAACUUCCCAGAAGGUUGUCAGCCUCUCUCCGGCAGGAGCUUUACAGAGGUCUGUGGACACUUCAGAGCACCCACACGGGCCAGAGAAGUAACUGGUCACGAGGCUUCCCCCAGGGGGACUUCCUCACUCAAGCGACACAUUAAACUCUGAGUCAAUGAAUGCCAGAGGUUAGGGGUAAAGAUGACAGCACUUCACCUCAAGCUACCUCCUAGUUUUCAUAAAGUUUGGAAUUGAAGCUGACGAGAUGUAGACUCACCGUAAAGAGCUGGAAGCAGCAAGCAUAUCUGUGGCCCAUGAAAAGGGAGAGGGGGACCAGGAGGGCAUGGGCUGGAGAAGGACGAGGUUGUGUCCAGAGGAAUGGAGCAAUUAAACUUUAAACUAUUCUUUUCAUAA